rnacentral:rRNA from 1 species
GAUGAACGCUGGCGGCGUGCUUAACACAUGCAAGUCGAACGAAGCAUUUGCGACAGAUUUUUUCGGAAUGAAGUUGCUUAUGACUGAGUGGCGGACGGGUGAGUAACGCGUGGGUAACCUGCCUUGUACUGGGGGAUAGCAGCUGGAAACGGCUGGUAAUACCGCAUAAGCGCACAAUGUUGCAUGACAUGGUGUGAAAAACUCCGGUGGUAUAAGAUGGACCCGCGUCUGAUUAGCUAGUUGGUGAGAUAACAGCCCACCAAGGCGACGAUCAGUAGCCGACCUGAGAGAGUGACCGGCCACAUUGGGACUGAGACACGGCCCAGACUCCUACGGGAGGCAGCAGUGGGGAAUAUUGCAAAAUGGAGGAAACUAUGAUGCAGCGACGCCGCGUGAGUGAAGAAGUAAUUCGUUAUGUAAAGCUCUAUCAGCAGGGAAGAUAGUGACGGUACCUGACUAAGAAGCUCCGGCUAAAUACGUG